AGGAACUUAAUCCCGGGCUCCCACAUAGGUGGCAAGGUGCCAAGUACUCGGGCCAUCUGCUGCUGCCUUCCCGCAAGCAGAGGCAGGAAACUGGAUCUGAAGUGGCGCAGCCAAGACCCGGCCGCUGAGCCAGCUGCUGUAGGGAACUAUUUGUUUGUUUGCUUAAGAGGCAGAGAGAUGGAGACAGAGAAAGAAGUCCCAUCCACAGGGUCACACCCGGAUGCCUGCAACAGCGGGACCAGAACUAAGUCCAGACCUCCCACAAGGGCAGCAGGGACCCAGCUACCUGAGUCAUCAGCUGCGGCCACCUGGGUGCACAAUAGCAACAAGCUAGAAUCCGGAACCAGAGGCAGGGAGCGGACCCAGGCAUUCUGCUAUGAGAUGCAGGAGUCUUAGCUGGAGUCAACCAUUAGGCCAAAUGCCUGCUCCCUCCAGGAACUUUCUGAAGUACCUUCAUCCAGGGGAGGAGAACUUAAAUUAAAAAAAGUCACCCACAUACCAUCAGCGCGAUUAUGAAGGAUGAGCAGAGCAACAGACACUGAAUGGCAACAUCCAGUGAUGAAACUGCAAAAAACAAAAGAGUAAAAACAAAAAAGGGCCGGUGCCGUGGCUCAAUAGGCUAAUCCUCUGCCUUGCGGCGCCGGCACACCGGGUUCUAGUCCUGGGCGGGGCACCGGAUUCUGUCCCUGUUGCCCCUCUUCCAGGCCAGCUCUCUGCUGUGGCCCGGGAAGGCAGUGGAGGAUAGCCCAAGUGCUUGGGCCCUGCACCCGCAUGGGAGAUCAGGAAAAGCACCUGGCUCCUGCCAUCGGAUCAGCACAGUGUGCUGGCCACAGCGCACCGGCCGCAGCGGCCAUUGGAGGGUGAACCAACAGCAAAAAAAAGGAAGACCUUUCUGUCUGUCUCUCUCUCUCACUAUCCACUCUGCCUGUAAAAAAAAAAAAAAAAAAAAGUAGGGGGAUAACCAAAUCUAGGAACAAGAGGAACCCCUCCCAAUUGGUUAAAUGUGCAGAACAUAAAUGAAUAAAUUCAAUCAAAUAAGAGGUCAGAUUAUAAAGCAAAGUUUCAGAAAGGAAGAUUAUAGCCCUAGAAAUACCCACACCACAAUAUUGUGAAUACCCACAUAGAAUUAGUAAGUUCAAAAUGGCAAGAGACAGGACACAAAGGAAAACUGAAUUACUGGCUUAAGACGAUCACAAGUAAAUCUCAACAAAAUGGAAGAGCCUGCAGCAGAGAAGAGCUAAGACAGCAGGGUCCCCACUAACAGGGUCUGUGGUCCUGGAGGCGAGGUCUGACAAACAGAACAGGAAAUGUAUUAGGACAUACAAAAAAAACCCUUGAUGCAGAGAAACAGAAACCUGCAAAUUAAAAGAUAUAAAAUGUUCCGUACCAGGCCAGACUCCAGAAAAGUUACAGGGCAUGAAAACUAAGGAUAUAAUUCUCUAAGCAGAGAGCAUCAUGCUGGCCUCCUAUUUCAAAACCAGAAGACAAUAAGGCAAAAUCCACAAGAUUCAGAAAAUAAAUUACUACCUCGAAAAUACUACAUUCAUCCAAAGCAUACUCUAGUAAAAAAGGUAGAUAUAUAAUCUGUGAAAGGCAGCAUUUAGGAGUAUUCCCUGAAAAAAACUUAGAAUGAAUUUUUUUUUUUUUUUUUUUUUUGGACAGGCAGAUUUUAGACAGUGAAAGAGACAGAGAAAAAGGUCUUCCUUCCAUUGGUUCACCCCCCAAAUGGCUACUAUGGCUGGUGCGCUGCGCCGAUCCGAAGCCAGGAGCCGCGUGCUUCCUCCUGGUCGCCCAUGUGGGUGCAGGGCCCAAGCACUUGAGCCAUCCUCCACUGCCUUCCCAGGCCACAGCAGAAAGCUGGACUGGAAGAGGAGCAACCGGGACAGAAUCCAGCGCCCCAACCGGGACUAGAACCUGGGGUGUCUGCACCACAGGCAGAGGAUUAGCCAAGUGAACUGUGGCACUGGCCAAAAUAUUUUUUUAUUAAUAUUUAUUUAUUUAUUUGAAAGUCAGAGUUAUACAGAGAGAGGAGAGGCAGAGAAAGAGAGGUCUUUCAUCCGAUGGUUCACUCCCCAAUUGGCCACAACAGCCGGAGCUGCACCAAUCCAAAGCCAGGAGCCAGGAGCUUCUUCUGGGUCUCCCACGCGGGUGCAGGGGCCCAAGUACUUGGGCCAUCUUCUACUGUUUUCCCAGGCCAUAGCAGGGAGCUGGAUUGGAAGUGGAGCAGCUGGGUCUCGAAUCGGUGCCCAUAUGGGAUGCCGGAGCUUCAUGCCAGGGCGUUAACCCACUGCACCACAGUGCCAGCCCCAGAACAAAAUCUCAUCAGGUAAAAGUUGAACCAACAUAAAGUGCUCAGCAAUGAUAUAUGGUAAAAGAGCUAAAUAGUGAGGAAUUAUUCCAUGCACAUGUAGAAUACUAUAUGACUACGGGAAAUAAGCCUACAGUACUUCAUUGCCAUUAUUCAUCGCUAUAUACACACAGAAAAGAGAUCAGCCACAACGUUCACCUAGUACUUUUUUUUACAUAUUGUACGUAUGUCUGGGGUAGUGUGAUAAUUUGAUACACAUGUAUAUAACGUGUAAGGAUCAAAUUAGGGUAAUUACCAUGUCCAUCCUUCAACAUUUAUUAUUCCUCUCUUCCAGUUCUUUAUAAAAUACAUAAUAAAUGGCUUUGAACUAUAAUCACUCUAUUAUGCUAUAGAAUAUUAAAACUUAUUCUUCCUAUGUAACUAUAUAUUUGCUCACCUAGCAAUGCUUAAUUAUGGGUGGUGGCAUUGGGGUGACUUUUCAGUGGUCAAAUUUUUUAUAAUGAGCACGUAUCUUUUUUUUUAAGAUUUAUUUAUUUAUUUGGAAGUCAGAAUUACAGAGAGGCAGAGAGAGAAAGAGAAGAGAGAGAGGUCUUCCAUCCGCUGGUUCACUCCCCAGGUGGCCACAAUGACUAGAGAUGAGUGGAUUUACAGCCAGGAGCCAGGAGCUUCUUCCUAGUCUCCCAUGUGGGUGCAGGGGCCCAAGGACUUGGGCCAUCUUCUACUGCUCUCCCAGGCCAUAGCAGAGAGCUGGUCUGGAAGAAGAGCAGCCAGGACUCGAACAGGCGCCCAUACGGGAUGCUGGUCCCGCAGUUGGAGGAUUAACCUAUUGCGCCAUGGCGCCAGCCCCAGGAUGGCUGUUUUCUUUGUACUCCUCUAGAUUUUUUAAUUUUGAAAACUAAAAAAAUUCAAAAAAGAAAAUAUAUAUAAACUUUUACACGUUAACUACUUUUGGGUAAUGUAAUUUUCUAUAAUUUUUAAAACUUGAGGACAGGCAUUAGGCACAGUGGUUAAGCUGCCCCUUGGGACACCUGCAUUCCAUACUGGAGUGCGUCAACUUCUGGCUCCUCUUCCAACCCAGCUUCCUGCCAAAGCAGCAGGGGAUGGCUCAAGCACUUGGGUCCCCACCACUCAUAUAGGAGACCAGAAUGGAAUUCCAGGCUACUGGUUUCAGCCUGGUCCAAUCCCAACUAUUGUGGGCAUUUGGUGAGUGAACUAACAGAUGGAAGAUGUUUCUCCGACUGUCUCUGUAUCUCUCUCCCUCUCUCUGCCUUUAAAAAAAAAAAUUCAUGUUAACUUUUCAGAACUGUUUAGGUAUAUUACAAUGAACAUGCAUUACUUUUAUAAAGACAUUUUUUCCCUACCAAAAAAUCAUAUCUUUAAAAAAGGGCAGAUAGGGGCCGGCGCUGUGGCUCACUUGGCUAAUCAUCCGCCUGCAACGCCGGCACCCUGGGUUCUAGUCAAGGCUGGGGUGCCGGGUACCAGUCCCGGUUGCUCCUCUUCCAGUCCAGCUCUCUGCUGUGGCCCGGGAGGACAGCAGAGGAUGGCCCAAGUGCUUGGGUCCCUGCACCCUCAUGGGAGACCAGGAGAAACACCUGGCUCCUGGCUUUGGAUCGGCUCCUGGCUUCAGAUCGGCGCAUUGCCGGCCGUAGCAGCCAUUAGGGGAGUGAACCAACGGAAGGAAGACCUUUUUCUCUGUCUCUCUCUCACUGUCUAUAAUGCUACCUGUCAAAAAAAAAAAAAAAAGGCAGAUAGAAGUAAAGAACUUUCCAGGCGACAUAACACUAAUAGUAGUACCAUGAUAAUGUUUUUGCUAGCAUUACUAACAAAAGAGAGACACAGAGAGUAGUAGGAGCACAAAAUAUGUCUGUAAGAAGCCGGUGCUGUGGCAUAGCAGGUAAAGUUGCCUCCUGAAGUGCCGGCAUCCCAUAUGGGCGCCGGUUCGAGUUCUGGCCGCUCCACUUCUGAUCCAGCUCUCUGCUAUGCCCUUGGGAAAACAGGAGAAGAUGGCCCAAGUUCUUGGGUCCCUGGACCCAUGUGGGAGACCCAGAAGAAGUUCCAGUCUCUUGGCUUCAGAUUGGCUCAGCUCCAGUCAUUGUGACCAUCUGGGGAGUGAACCCAUGGAUGGAAGACCUUUCCCUUUCUCUCUCUGUCUCUGCCUCUCUGUAACUCUGCCUUUCAAAAAUAAAAAAUCAGGGGGCGGAGCCAAGAUGGCGGAAUAGUGAGGGCGCGCACCGAUAGUCCGGGAAAAUUUAGUUUAAUAAAAGGGGAGUUACGGUAGCCUCAGAAAAAAGAACCAGGAAAAUAUUGCAGACAAAACUCUUCUGGAUCCAGUGGGCGUGAAUCGGAGGACCUACUGGGAGAACAAGGUCGCCCACCGCGCGCGAAAGCCGAACCGCAGGACCGAGCCGCGGGACUGAGCCGCGGAAGCCGAGCCGCGGGACUGAGCUGCGCAAGCUGCAGGGUCUGCGCGCAAGUGCUCGAAGGGGAGUGCAACAGCGGGGAGACUUGGGAAGUCCAGGGCUCCGAGUCCACACAUCGGCGCUGGAAGGGGAGCAGACCUGCGUGGAGAGCGUGGGAGCCCACAGUUCGGGACACCAGCGGCAGACUCAACACACCAGCGCUGGAACGCGAGGUGAGCCGAACCUCAAUAACCCGAGACACCGGCAGGCAAGCGGAGAGAGGAGACUAGAGGGAACGACCCCCGGGGCGGGGGGGACUUCACCAAGCUAACUGGAAGAGAGAGAGAGGGAAAAAAAAAAAAGGUGACUGGUAUGGACACGGGUUU